CUACGGGAUGCAGCAGUUUCGAAUAAUUCACAAUGGGCGCAAGCCUGAUGAUGCGACGUUACGUGAAGGAAGAAAGCUUUAAGUUGUAAACUUCUGUCGUUAAGGAACAAAAAAUUAAGUAGUACUUUUUAUAUUGAGUUAACUUAAAGAGGAAGCAGUGGCUAAUUUCGUGCCAGCAGCCGCGGUAAUACGGGAACUGCAAGCGUUGCUCGGUUUUAUUGGGCGUAAAGAGUACGUAGGUUGUUAUAUAUGUUAAUUGUUAAAUUUUAAAGUUAAUCUUUAAAUUUGCUGUUAAAACUAUAUAACUAGAAUUUCAAAGAGGUAAGUGGAAUUUCAAGUGUAGCGGUGAAAUGCGUAGAUAUUUGAAGGAACACCAAUGGCGAAAGCAACUUACUGGGUGAUAAUUGACGCUAAAGUACGAAAGUAUAGGGAGCAAAAGGGAUUAGAUACCCGUGUAGUC
rnacentral:rRNA from 1 species